CCUCCUGCCGCAGUUAACACAAUAAGUAUUCCACCUGGGGAGUACGGCCGCAAGGUUGAAACUCAAGGAAUUGACGGGGGCCCGCACAAGCAGUGGAUUAUGUGGUUUAAUUCGAAGCAACGCGAGAACCUUACCAGGGCUUGACAUCCCGGUGACCGGUCUAGAGAUAGGCUUUUCUCUUCGGAACACUGGAGACAGGUGGUGCAUGGUUGUCGUCAGCUCGUGUCGUGAGAUGUUGGGUUAAGCCCAUAACGAGCGCAACCCUUAUUGUUAGUUGCUACGUAAGAGCACUCUAGCGAGACUGCGUUGACAAAACGGAGGAAGGUGGGGACGACGUCAAAUCAUCAUGCCCCUUAUGUCCUGGGUACACACGUAAUACAAUGGCGUUUAACAAAGGGAAGCAAAACCGCGAGGUAGAGCAAAUCCAAAAAGGCGUCUCAGUUCGGAUCGCAGGCUGCAACCCGCCUGCGUGAAGUCGGAAUUGCAGUAAUCGUGGAUCAGCAUGCCACGGUGAAUACGUUCCCGGGCCUUGUACACACCGCCCG
rnacentral:rRNA from 1 species